GCAGUUUCCUUGGGGACCCUUGAACAAGGAGGUUUUAUCUGGCCAUCUUCAUUCCCACCUUGUGGGAACUGGGUUCGGGGAACCAACACAAAUAAGCUGAUAACCUGGCUACUGCUUUUGCUGCAGGGAUGCAUUUCACAGCGCACAUGAGCAACUCGGAGGGACCUGGGAGGCCAUGUGACUGAUGCCUCACUUUACAGAAGAGGACACCAGGCCCAGAGAGAGGAAGAGACUCCCUGGGACAGCAUGGGCAGCCAGAACCCACGUGCCGAUCCCCUCUUCCCCGCAGCCCUCCCUGUGUGGCAGGGUUGGUACCAACUGCGAUGCCACAGCCACAGCCCUCCCCCCAUCAACCCAAUGGGCUGCCUGUGGGCCUCUGCUCUUCAAAGGAAGAAAGAGCUAUUUGGGAUAAUGGUCGCAGAGCCCUCUGAAGUUCCAAAGAGUUGGAAAAAAUACAUCUACAGGACCC